GGCGUGUUCAGAUGAUUGUGAGCACCUUGGCCGCUCCGAUAUAUCUGAUGGCGACUGUACCUACUCUGUUUCUGUCUUCAGGGUGACUUACUUGAACAUAUCAAAAAAAUAAUUAAUAAUUUAACAGGGAAAAGGGAACCAUUCUGUAGAAAGAGACAGAAGUUACGAUUGAAUAAACACAGCCUCAAAAUAUAUCGUUAGGUGACAACCAAAACUCACUAAUUACUAAAAAAUACCCAAUGAAACAAGAAUCAACCUUAUUGCAGUACUAAUAUGGUUCACUAUGAUUAUGGACUUGUUGUGGUAAUUAGUGAGUUUUGAUUGCCACCUGAGGAUAUACGUCAACCUUCAGGGUUCCUAUCAGCUUCUUAGGAUCAGGAGUGUUUUAAAUGGACACGAGUUGCGAAUCACCUAUUCGCACGUGUAUCGUACAACAUUUUACAGUACCUAUGGCCCUUUAAACUUUUGACAUACACACGGAAAGUGCUCUUUCCCCCACUAGUGCGGGAAAGUACCACCAUAUGUACUGUAAAGAGUAUUUUUAUUCUAUUGUAUUGUAAUGGGUGAAUCAACUUUUUCUUGUCACUAGUUGCCAUGGUUACGGUCUCCUGGGUCACUCUUAAAAUACUAGUUAUUUCGUAUUUAAAUGAACCAAACUUGAAUUUUUUGGUAGUUCUAAGGCCUUUCACUAAUGGGACAUCUACUAAGCACGUUUGUAGAACAUGGUACAGCAGCUCUUCUAAGAAACUAAGCUACUAUUGUCUCCUGGCUGAUGGGACAGCAUGACAACGAGAAAUUGUUGAUCGACCCUAAUAUAUGCGUUUGUGCGGGACACCUCAUGGAAUGACCCUUUUUCAAAUGAGACAGUUGACUACAAACACUCUUUGAACCUUAGUCUUUACAAUGAGGUUUACAAUAUGUCGUAACUGACAACAGUUUGGAUAUAGUUUGCCAAAUUGUUGGUUUGAUAACAUUAAAACUUGGUGCUGAAGUUUGGGCCAAACUUUAGAAGUCAUUGACGUGUAAUAUCUAAGGAUGGGCCUUACGGGCACUAAAAAUGGUACUCUAGUUCUGGUGUCACUCACGAAUUCGAGCCAAUCGUGCAAUCUUAACGCAACUAGUUGCGACCAAUCGCGCGCGUGAUGCGAACUCAUCAACCAAUCGCGUUGUAGCGGUGUCACCGCUGUACUGGCCCCUGUCAUGCCUCAUUAUUAUUGCCCGUAAAGCCAGUACCUAGAUAUCUAUGUCAAUGUUAGAAAUGUUAUGUCACUGGUGGCGCCUAAAUUGCACUGCCGUUCCUAUUCUAAAAAAAAACUUUAAUGCCAUACAUAUUUAAAAAAAUAUUCCUAGUUUAUAAAAGGCCAAUGGAAAAAUUUGAUUUCGUCACAAUGUCUGUAAACAUGUUAUUAAUUAAAAUUUUAUUUUCAAUUAUGAGGGUUUAAGAUACCUAUUGAAUUGUUUCCUAUAGCUUUUAACAGUGACGGAACAAGUAAAUAAUAAAUGGCUGCUAUUUAACUGAAUCUAAUUUACCACCCUAAAAUAAUAAAUGAUCACCAAAAUUGUAACUCCAUUUUAAUGCGAACUGAUUACCAAUUUUAUUACAUUUUACUAUCCUAUUAAAGGACAUGACGCCAAACUAAUCAUUAUUAACCCAAAAAUUGUAAAUGAUUACCAAAUUUCAAACACCAUUUUAAUGUCAAUUGAUAACCAAUUUUUUUCAUCUUGCUAUCCUAUUAAAUAAAAUGACACCAAAAUAAUCAUUGUAAACCCGAAAAUAGUAAAUGACCACCAAAAUUAGAACUCCAUUUUAAUGUAAAAUUAUAACCAAAUUUUUAAAUCUUGCAAUCCUAUUAAAGCAAAUGACUCCAAAAUAAUCAUUGUAAACCCAAAAAUAGUAAAUCACCACCAAAAUUGUAAAUUGUUUCUGUAUGGGUCACAGUUCAAACCUAACCUAACCCACUUUUCAAGUAGAAUUUCGUUUCUGUAUGGGUCGCAGUUCAAACCUAACCUAACCCACUUUUCUAGUAGCAUUUCGUUUGUGUAAGGGUCACAGUUCAAACCUAACCUAACCCACUUUUCUAGUAGCAUUUCGUUUCUGUAAGGGUCGCAGUUCAAACCUAACCUAACCCACUUUUCUAGUAGCAUUUCUUUUCUGUAAGAGUCGCAGUUCAAACCUAACCUAACCCACUUUUCUAGUAGCAUUUCGUUUCUGUAAGGGUCGCAGUGCUAACCUAGCCCACUUAACUGAUAGCAGUUCAAACCUAACCUAACCUACUUUGCUACUAGAAAAGUAGGUUAGGUUAGGUAGGUAUGCAGUGCGAGGUACGGGGGGUUGUGCGGGAGGGGCUAGUAAUUUUGGCAUCAUUUUACUUUAUUUGGUAAUAUGUAUGCAUUUUUUGGUAAUCAUAGUGGUUUAUUAGGUGAAAAUAUCGCAUUAAUUUGGUCUUCAAGAUUUGGUGAUCAUUAAUGAUUUUUGGUAAUCAUUCAAUAUAUUUGGUAUUCGAAUACAAUUUGAAGUGCAGUCGUAAUUAAAGCGGUGGUACUUUUGGAAUUUUAGGCCUUAUGUUUUUGGUGUUCAGUAAUUUUUUUUGGUAAGCAUGAUUUUUUUAUUUAGGGUACCAAAAUAUUUUUUGGUGGUCAUUAUAUUUGUAGCCAUAAUAAAUGUAAUAUCAUUUUUUUUUUAUUACAUUUGGCCUAAGAAAAAAAAAAUUAGGCGGACUCCAGAGGACGUGUAUAGGUGGGAGAGAUGAAUUUGUCGAAAAUAUUUAAUAUGACACCUUCACUUCUUAUGUUACCAAUACCUAUUGUUGUAUCUUUAGGUAUAGCAAAUUUUAACACUUUGACCACCACAGUCGGCUAUAGCCGACAAAAUUACACCGUAAAUUCAGCCAUAAUAAAUUCUAAUAAAAUUCACUGUGGCAUGUGAUAUAAAAUAGCUGUGGCGGUCAAAAGGAAGUAAUGGAAUUGUUUUAUAAGGUUCAACUCUCAACGGUUGAUAUCCCCGAUUUCUCAUAAGUAUACCAUGCCUAGAUUAUUUUUAAUACGUAAUAUACAUUUCAUCAAACUAGCUAUAGCUGGUCAAGCAAAUCUUGUCAGUAAAAAAAAGGCGCGAAAUUCAAAUUUUCUAUGGGACGAUAUCCCUUCGCGCCUACAUUUUUCAUAUUUGCCGCCUUUUUCUACUGACAAGAUCUGCUUGACCAAGUAUAGUGACCUCUUUUGACCCAUAAUAGCCCAGUGUGUCGUACCCGAUCUAUUAUUUUUUUAGCUUUCGCUUAAAAAGCGAGAGUGGUUUAUUUUUUUAAAUCGAUGCAGUUAAAUGUCAGAAUAUAUAGCUGGUCAAACAAGUUUGUCAGUAGCAAAAGGCGCGAAAUUUAAAUUUUCUAUGGGACCAUUACCCAUUAUACCCGGUUUUUUCUACUGACGGAAAUGGCUUGAGACACUAUAGUUUAUACUUUAUAUUUCGAAUGCGUUCAAAUUAUUAAAUUGUUUAUACCAGAAACUACUUGAAGUAGCUUUGCUUUAAAAAAAAAAAGGUGUUUCAAUAAAUAUUUUAUCGACUGUGAUAGAAUUUUUGGCAUAAUUGCACUGAAAAAACUUUGUUUAAGUUUACACUGUUAAUAAACAUAAAUUUUAUAAUUGUCUAAGGUUGGUAAUUAUUUUUUUAGGUUAUUCAUACUUUGUGUACCGUUUUUAUUUAACGCUAGAGUAGUAGUUCGCCCACACAGUGCAAAUGUUAUUUUAAACGUCGAAUUCCUACGAAAUUAUGACUUAUAAAUAGCACUUGCACUGCGUGGGCUAUCAAAAUCGCUGCAGACUUUUCUUGGUCUAACUCUACUCACCUUCAAUUAGCCUUUUAAUAAGCCAGUGUUUAAUCACCAACUAAAUCAAUUAAUUUAGUGAUCAAGAACUAAAGAAUAAACUAAAGACUAAAAAGGUCUAUAGCGUUAAAGGGUUAUAAAGAUAAUGAUUCAAGAGCUAAAUAAUAUUGCUAGUUUUCUUUAGAUAGUUAUUAUAAUAACGAUUUAAAAGACAAAAGUACAUUCAUUAGUUAAACCUAAUUUCUAAAGGGGCCCACUGAUUAACAGUCGCCGGACGGUAUCGACCUGUUAGUUAGAACAAAAUUUUGACAUUUCCGAACAACUAACAGGGCGAUACCGUACGGCGGACUGCAGUUUAAUAAUAAUAGCCCCCCCCCCCCCUUCAGGUAUGAAGUGAAGACUUUUGUUUAAUAGUUUUUCUUCUAGACUUUUUGGACCUCUCAAGGCUUAGUGGGUACAUAUGUAGUGCAUAUUUUUUUUCCAUCAUAUUUUCUCGGAAACGUUCCUAUUUGUCAUGCUACUUCACCCAAUCUCAGUCCUUUUUUUACCGAGACUGACUGAAAUAGGAAGGCACGUUCGUACGUUUCCGUGAAAAUACGAUGGAAAAUAAUUACAUUACACACUAUAUCUGUAUAAUAAUAGUAAAAAUCUAAUAUCUAAAGUGGUAUCUGUGUAAUAGUUUAUUAUUUAGAAUUUUUGGACCUACUCAUCAAGUUUAAGUGGGUAACAAGUAUAAAAUAUCAAUCCAGUAAUAGUACCAAAAACCGUUCCGUUUUUGGAACACAAUUAACACUUUGACCGCCACAGUGGGUCAAAGACGACAAAGGUAUAACAGUACAUACUUUCUAAUAAAUUUUACUAAGCGUAUUAUACUAAUUAAAAUAGUCGUGGCGGUGCAAAGGUUAAAAAUUAUCUGUCCCUUUCUAUAAAUAAAGGUAGGAAUGAGGCGCUUCGGUGACAAUUCAUUGGGGUUAAUUUAUACGUGGGCCAUACUGAAAGUCUCUGGUUUCUGAUAUAUGAGACGACUUAGUUUUUCUAAGUGGCCAGUUCCAGGAAUUUCAGUAUGCCCUAAGUAGGGUCUAUGGCAUAUUACCUAUGCAUUAGUGAGUUUACUGGAACUUUAAUAACAUAUUUAUGGCGUUAUACAUAAACGCGUUACUGGCCUGAAUUACUUAGCUAUGAAUCGUUUGUCUUUAUCUGUAAUUUUGACUUAUGUAUUUGUAUGCAAGGAAUAAAACAUAAUUUAACCUUUUCGACGCCGUGUCAAACACAAAAGCUCGUCGUCGUCACUCGGACGCCACGUCACCGAAGUGUCAAAACUGAAAUUGAACUUUAUGCAUACGCACGUAGGUCUAUGUCGCUCUGUGGUCUGUGACCGAUUAAUCGGUCUUUGGCGUUGGACCUUCGGUGCGGAUAUAUCGGUCAUUGGCGUCCAAAAGGUUAACUAAAUCGGGCCCGUAAAGUUUUAUGAAUAAGGGGUAUAGUCUUUAUGAGGAUUUGUGAUUGAAAUA